UUGGCCUCCUGGAAUUUGGAUUCUCUUU
rnacentral:piRNA from 1 species